UGCCUAACUCAUAAGGAUUUUAUCUUAUAUUUCUAAGGUUUUUCUUUUAGAAUUUUUAGUUUUAAGUUUUAUUUAAGCCUAUGAGCCAUUGUGAGUUAAUUUUUCUAAAUAGUAGGAGGGAAGGAUUGAGAUUCAUCCUGUUUUUGCACAUGCCGUUCAAUUGCACCAUUUGUUCAAAACUUUCCUUUCCCGCCUAGAGGAUUCACUGAAUCCCCUUGGCAACUUCAAUGAACAUCAGUUGACUAUAUAUGUGUGAGUCUAUUUUUGAAGUCUGAUAUCUACUUUUAAAAUGUGAUAAAUGAUGUGCCAAUUUGCCCUCCAAAAAAGGCAACUUAUCCUCCCACCAGAAGUGUGUGACAGCGACUUUACAGCUGAAUCUCAGGAACAGAACUGGGGUGCCGCGCUGCAGUCCCUUACCUCGGCCCAAACACAACUCUUCUUAAAGUCUCCUGAGCUGAUAUCGCCUCACGCCUUGGUCGCAGGUAGCUUACAAACUACUGUUUGCAACGGAAAACUCUUUACGACUAAGUCAAUUCACUUUACCGCGUAGGAUCCUGCAAGGCAGCUGCUCUGUUGUACAAACCUCGGGCCGGGGCGGGCUUUCUUCGCUGCGGGACACGCGUCCUCGGUCACUUCGUCUGUCUGAGAGAAGACCGCCUAAUUCACCGAGAUCAUUCAGGCGAGUCCACCUCCUGCCCUUCCUUCCCCACCAACGCCACAACCCCAUCCUGGAGACGUCUGAAAAACCAGCGCAGGUCCCGGCCAUCCAAGCGCUCAGCCUUCCAGGAGGCCUCCUUGGACCCCGCUGAAAUGGCGGAAACCUCUGCCUGCGUCCUCUCCAAAGAUUCCCAGAAGCCGCCGUCCGAAGCAGCCUAUUCGAAAAUAAUUCCCAAAGCUGAGGCUCAGGGACAGGAAAUGUCCACUGAAAGAGUAAAAACCUAUCUAGAUGGAAAUAAAGGAAAUCUCCGAUUGAAAAACUAACACCAAAACCCAUCAACCAAACAAACCAAAAAACACCCAACGUUGCUGAUUUCAGGCUGGGAGGACCGACACAGAUGAGUCAGGUGCAAAAUUAACAGGAAACACUGUUUUCUUCCAAAUAAUGCAGCAGCUGUAACUGUCACAGCAAUCACCUGUUUGAGUGAUUACCACCUUCUUAGGACGCCCAGAUCCGCUUUGUCACACCCUUCUAUUACUGGGGAUACCUAAAACCACCCUCUCCUCAUGACAAUGCCCAAUCCUUACUUAAACACCCCUGCUGCUACUCCAGACCUGAUCCCCGCUUAUUUUAGAGUCUCCUCGGAAUCCUUUAAAGGAACGCAAACCUUAGGAAAGAUACUUCUCUCCCUCCUCUCGCUGAGCGGCAUUUCCUGGUUAUUAUGGAGCAUCUCCUCACUUCAGUGAUUCAAUAAAUUUGAUUUUGUCAGACUG